UGAGAGUCUGGUAUUCCUUGGCACGUUUUGUUGGUUGUUAGAAUUGAAAUUGAUGUUAUUGUUGCCGUUGUUGCGGUUUACUAGCUUUGCCACAUUGCCAAAUGCUGGUUACCCCGCUCUGUAAUGUCAAGGGAAAAGAGAUUGCUGAUAAGAUGGCUAACGGCUUACGUACCUGGCAGAUGGCUGCUAACAGCCCUCCGAGAUGGGGAUGCCAACAGGCGCCCAUCCAACGGUGCGGAUCUGUCGAUAACAGCGUCCCUAGCUCCCUGACAGCGUCCCUGUAUUCUUCAGAAACCACCGCAUUCUUUUCCCAAGAGAGAAUGCUUAGCUUACACCCACUUGCCAAAGCCAGGAAGACACCGCUUCCGUCAUGCGCUGGAGAUACGCUAACAAACGACACAAAGGAGGUAGCGUCACUUUUCCUAGUAGAAGAAGAUUCCGUGAAGGACCUGAUGAUUGGAGUCAGGCUUGAUGCGUCGUCAAACAACGAGAUGUUUGAAUGGCCGUCCGACACAGCGAACCUUGAUCGCAGGUCUGAGCCAAGCAGCAAGGCUCCGCGUGAUACUUCUCCAUCCUCUGCGACAUUGACAGCCGCCAAGGCUGGAACAGUAACACCUGUCAGAUGUGGCAUCUUGGCGGCUAAGGGAAGUGAACUGCGAGGUGACAGCUAACUUCAAAGUAGCAAUAAGUGAUAUCAUUAUUUUUUAGUUGCUGGCGUUCCGAUUGGGUCUUAUGAAAUAUAUGAAAAGUGUUGGCAUAUCCCCGUCAUGGAAACUGUGCUGGAGCUAUCUACAUGGCGAAGAAUUGCUAAUUUUACCAUGUUGGCUAGCACUCGGGUAAAACCAACUCCCA
rnacentral:lncRNA from 1 species